UAUGUGAUCGUCUCUCGCAUAUCAAUAAGCGGAGGAAAAGAAACUAACAAGGAUUCCCCUAGUAACGGCGAGUGAAGCGGGAAGAGCUCAAAUUUGAAAUCUUAAAGGGUUUCCCUUUACGAAUUGUAGUUUAAAGGAGUGUUUUCUGUUGAGGUUUUGGUAAAAGUUCUUUGGAAUAGGACAUCAUAGAGGGUGAGAAUCCCGUAUUUGACCUUUACUUUCAACUUUGUGAUACACUUUCAAAGAGUCGGAUUGUUUGGGAAUGCAGUCCAAAAUGGGUGGUAAAUUUCAUCUAAAGCUAAAUAUUGGCGAGAGACCGAUAGCGAACAAGUACCGUGAGGGAAAGAUGAAAAGAACUUUGAAAAGAGAGUUAAACAGUACGUGAAAUUGUCAAAAGGGAAGCGUUUGACACCAGUGUUGUUUUUCUGAAAAUCAAUUAAAGAACUGUUUAUGCUAAGUUGUUUAGACUUUAUCAGCUAACUGUUUAGUUUUGAGCUUUUCUUUAAUGCACUUUUCAGUUAACAAGUCAACAUCAAUUUCUUUUGCUGUAAAAAAGCUUGAGGAAGGUGGCUUGAGAUUCGUCUUAAGUGUUUAUAGCCUCUUGCCUAUGCAGUCGGAGAGAUUGAGGUCUGCAGCGUAGAUCCUUCGGGGCUAAAUGCAUUUGUGCUAAGUUAUAGCAUUUUAUAGACAACUUGUUGACUAUGAUUUGUCUUGUAGCUUACUCGCUUAUGUUAUUUUACCUACGCUUAGGAUGUUGACGAGACUGUCGAUCUC
rnacentral:rRNA from 1 species